GAUGAAGAACGCAGCGAAAUGCGAUAAGUAAUGUGAAUUGCAGAAUUCAGUGAAUCAUCGAAUCUUUGAACGCACAUUGCGCCCAUUAGUAUUCUAGUGGGCAUGCCUGUUCGAGCGUCAUUAAGUCCACUUAAGCCCUGCUUAGUGUUGGGAGACUGCUCCAGCGGUGCUACCCUGUAGCUACCCUGCAGCUCCUCAAAGACAGCGGCGGAGUUGUGGUAUCCUCUGAGCUUAGUAACUUGUUCUAGCUUUCGAGUNCACCACUUCCCCUGCCGUAAAACCCUUAAUUUUUAAUGGUUGACCUCGGAUCAGGUAGGAAUACCCGCUGAACUUAAGCAUAUCAAUAAGCGGAGGA
rnacentral:misc_RNA from 1 species